UUACAAUGCUUCGAGAAGUGUCUCAAUAAUAAAUCGAAAUAGGCAAUGGUUUAGAAGUGUUAGAGUAGGCAAAAAGUUACAAUGCUUAGUAAAAAAAUCGUUGCUGAAAUGGUGUAUUUGAUCAAGGGUCACAACCUAGUGAAAUAACACUACUUGGUCUAUAAAUUCAUAAUUCUAGAAUUAGAAAAAAAAUAUAACAAAAAG
rnacentral:lncRNA from 1 species